UUGAAUGGCUGCAGUAAUUUGACUGUACAAAGGUAGCAUAAUAAUUAGUUUUUUAAUUAAAAGCUUGAAUGAAUGGUUGGACGAAAUAAAAUCUGUCUUUAUUUAAUUUAUAUUAGAAUUUAAUUUUUAAAUUAAAAAGUUUAAAUUUUUUUAAAAGACGAGAAGACCCUAUAGAGUUUAAUAAUUUAUUUAAUAUAAUUAAUUUAGAUUUAUUUAUUUUAUAUUAAAUAAUUUAUUUUAUUGGGGUAAUAUAAAGAUUAAAAUAAUUCUUUAUUUUUAAUUUAUUGAUUUAUAUUUUUAUGAGCCAUUAAUAAUGAUUUUUAGUUUAAAUUACCUUAGGGAUAACAGCGUAAUUUUUUUAGAGAGUUCAUAUUGAUAAAAAAGUUUGCGACCUCGAUGUUGGAUUAAAGAUUAAUUUAGGUGCAAAAGUUUAAAUGAUUUGGUCUGUUCGACCAUUAAAUCUUUACAUGAUCUGAGUUCAGACCGGCGUGAGCCAGGUUGGUUUCUAUCUUUAUUUAAUUAGUAUAUUUUAGUACGAAAGGACCAAAUAUUGAUUAUAAUAAUUAUUAUUUGAAUAAUAUUAAGUUAUUUUGGCAGAUUAGUGCAAUGAAUUUAGAAUUCAUAUAUGUAAUUUUAUUACAGGUAAUAUUUGUUUUAUAUUGAUUUAAUUUUUAUGUUUAUUAUUAUAGUUUUAUUAAUUAUUUGUGUAUUAAUUGGAGUUGCUUUUUUAACUUUAUUGGAACGUAA
rnacentral:rRNA from 1 species